rfam:Ruminococcus sp. CAG:17 genomic scaffold, scf111
GGACCUUUAGUUCAAUCGGUAGAACGCUGGUCUCAUAAGCCGGUAGUCCUGGGUUCAAGUCCCAGAGGGUCCA